GCAUAUCAAUAAGCGGAGGAAAAGAAACCAACAGGGAUUGCCCUAGUAACGGCGAGUGAAGCGGCAACAGCUCAAAUUUGAAAUCUGGCUCUCGGGCCCGAGUUGUAAUUUGUAGAGGAUACUUUUGAUGCGGUGCCUUCCGAGUUCCCUGGAACGGGACGCCAUAGAGGGUGAGAGCCCCGUCUGGUUGGAUGCCAAAUCUCUGUAAAGUUCCUUCAACGAGUCGAGUAGUUUGGGAAUGCUGCUCUAAAUGGGAGGUAUAUGUCUUCUAAAGCUAAAUACCGGCCAGAGACCGAUAGCGCACAAGUAGAGUGAUCGAAAGAUGAAAAGCACUUUGAAAAGAGAGUUAAAAAGUACGUGAAAUUGUUGAAAGGGAAGCGUUUAUGACCAGACUUGGGCUUGGUUAAUCAUCUGGGGUUCUCCCCAGUGCACUUUUCCAGUCCAGGCCAGCAUCAGUUUUCCCCGGGGGAUAAAGGCGGCGGGAAUGUGGCUCUCUUCGGGGAGUGUUAUAGCCCACCGUGUAAUACCCUGGGGGGGACUGAGGUUCGCGCAUCUGCAAGGAUGCUGGCGUAAUGGUCAUCAACGACCCGUCUUGAAACACGGACCAAGGAGUCGUCUUCGUAUGCGAGUGUUCGGGUGUCAAACCCCUACGCGUAAUGAAAGUGAACGCAGGUGAGAGCUUCGGCGCAUCAUCGACCGAUCCUGAUGUUCUCGGAUGGAUUUGAGUAAGAGCAUACGGGGCCGGACCCGAAAGAAGGUGAACUAUGCCUGUAUAGGGUGAAGCCAGAGGAAACUCUGGUGGAGGCUCGCAGCGGUUCUGACGUGCAAAUCGAUCGUCAAAUAUGGGCAUGGGGGCGAAAGACUAAUCGAACCUUCUAGUAGCUGGUUUCCGCCGA
rnacentral:rRNA from 6 species